GCAAGAGGAUGGUUUUGAAGAAAAUGAGAGCUGUUUGGAAUGGUUUGGAAGACUGGGACCGGCACAUGGGUACUACAAUCCUCAAAGGAGAUGCAAUAUGUGAGUGUCAAGACGAAACACGAAAUACCAAAAAUUUUGCCCCGAUUUUGUGUUUGGGAAAAUGAGCUGGGUUGGCUAGGUUACAGGGAAAUCCCAUCUUCUUGAGACAUUACCUUUUUUUUAUAUUCAUUUGUUUUCAACUUUUUUUCUUUUUUUUUAAUGACAUGUUGAAAGUCAUUUUGCCUUAUCGCAAAAUUAAGCUUUAUACAAAUUUGAGCAAUCAUUAUUCAAUCUGCGUGGACUUUAUUAGGCUUGUAAUGUGGCUAGGG
rnacentral:lncRNA from 1 species